UUUAAUAUUUAUCAAGAUCACUUUUGGUCAACAAAAGUAAUCCCAUUACACUUAAAUCAAAUUAGUGAAACAAAUCACCAACAAACCUCCCCCAUUUAAGUGUAAUCUUGAUUAAUUUAAAACAAAAAACAUAACAACAAACUGAUGCAUAAAUGAAAUAUAGUGACGAUUGAAUUUCACAUUAGUAUAUUAUUCAUUCCAAAUAUUCGAAUAUCAGGGUGUCACUAAGGAUUGAACCCUUUCUAUUCUAAGUGAAUACAUGAAGAUAAUAUACACAACAAUUUACAUUCUCUAAGUUCUAGCUUGACACUAUAUUUUACUAGCUUGUGUCCCAUCCUUCAAUAAGCAUAUCAAAGUCAAGUCCCAACUUCUUGAAGCAGCUAAACUUCAUGCUUAUAUAGGUAGUUCUUUUGUUCUUGNCUUGAAGCAGCUAAGCUUCAUGCUUAUAUAGGUAGUUCUUUUGUUCUUGCACCUGCAAAUGCAAUUUUUCAAAGAACUGUUAAGAAAUAAAAUUUCAACCUCC
rnacentral:lncRNA from 1 species